GGCAUCUGUGUGUGUGUGUGUGUGUGUGUGUGUGUGUGUGCACGAUGUAUGUACACACACACAUGCCC
rnacentral:miRNA from 1 species